AUCCCUCACUCUCCCUCUCAAAUCUCACCCUUAUACUCGAAACCCACGAGAAUCAACCACCAAUUCCCAACCUAAUCGCGAUCUAGGUCUUGCAAAAUGUUGGUUUGGGUUUGGAGGAGCUCGUUCUUGGUGUUCUUCAAAGAAAACAACUUAGGCUUGCUUGAUCUUGGAGUUUGGACUUCCGAUCUUUGAGGCAGGGAUUUCUCGCUAUCUUUAUGUGUUUAUGAGUAGAUUUGGUACCUAAAAUUUGUGUUUGAUCGUUGUUUUUGGUUCCCGGAGAAACCCUUGAAAAGUUGAAAUCGCAUGCUGCUGUACUACCUUUUUCUCGGUACCGGUACCCAAAUCUCUGGAAUCUGGUUAUGUGCUUUUGGUACCGAUACCACUUUUUUUAGUACCGGCACCACUCGGACAGGUAUGAACCAGAGGCAAUAGCAUUGGGUGCUUGGCAUGCAUGUGUGGACGAACUUUUGAAAGCGAAUCUUGAAGAAUUACGUUGACAUCUUUUGUACCUCAUAUUUUGAAGAUGUAAUUGUAAUUUUGAUCAUAUUUUUUAGUCAACGGAUUAUUGGGAAGUUGUAUAACACUUAAUUUUCUUUCUAAUUUCGUAUUUAUGUAACAUUGGGUCGUGGUGCCUUAAAUAGUAAACUUUUGGAAGUUUAGAGGUCGGAACUACAGUUGGUUGAGAUGAGCAUAUUAAACUCUCUUGGGAUAUUAUGUAAUUAAAGUGAGGCUUUUUAUUUAUGAAAGUUAUCUAUAUUUAUGUUUAAAA